rnacentral:antisense_RNA from 1 species
UUAUGGCGGCUGUGCGUGGGCGGGCUUCGGCCCGGCCGGUUUCCUUUGUGACCGGUUUCUCACCCCGCGUACAGUCGCCACCCA